GAUGAACGCUGGCGGCGUGCCUAAUACAUGCAAGUCGAGCGAACAGACGCGGCGCUUGCUCCUUUGACGUUAGCGGCGGAGGGGUGUGUAACACGUGGAUAAUCCACCUAUAAGACUGGGAUAAUUUCGGGAAACCGGCGCUAAUCCCGGAUAAUAUAUUGCACCGUAUGGUUCAAUAGUGAAUGACGGCUUUGCUGUCACUUCUCGAUGGAUCUGGGCCGCAUUAGCUAGUUGGUAAGGUAACGGCUUACCAAGGCAACGAUGCGUAGCCGACCUGAGAGGGGGAUCGGCCACACGGGAACGGAGACACGGACCAGGCUCCUACGGGAGGCAGCAGAAGGGAAUCGUCCGCAAUAGGCGAAAGCCUGACGGAGCAACGCCGCGUGAGAGAUGAAGGUCUUCGGAUCGUAAAACUCUGUUAUUAGGGAAGAACAAAUGUGGAAGGAACUGUGCACGUCGUGACGGUACCUAAUCAGAAAGCCACGGCUAACUACGUG
rnacentral:rRNA from 1 species